rnacentral:rRNA from 1 species
CCUACGGGUGGCUGCAGUGGGGAAUUUUGGACAAUGGGCGCAAGCCUGAUCCAGCCAUGCCGCGUGCAGGAUGAAGGCCCUCGGGUUGUAAACUGCUUUUGUACGGAACGAAAAGCCUCUCUCGAAUAAAGAGGGGUGAUGACGGUACCGUAAGAAUAAGCACCGGCUAACUACGUGCCAGCAGCCGCGGUAAUACGUAGGGUGCUAGCGUUAAUCGGACGUGCGCGGCCUAACUCGUGCGACAGUGGUGAAAUCCCCGGGCUCAACCUGGGAACGGCCAUUGUGACUGCAAGGCUGGAGUACGGCAGAGGGGGAUGGAAUUCCGCGUGUAGCAGUGAAAUGCGUAGAUAUGCGGAGGAACACCGAUGGCGAAGGCAGUCCCCUGGGCCUGUACUGACGCUCAUGCACGAAAGCGUGGGGAGCAAACAGGAUUAGAUACCCGUGUAGUC